UCGAGUUUCCCUGGUGUACCCAUGAGGGAGCCAGGAGCCUCUGCCAUCUCAGAUAGGGUUUCUGUCAGAGGCCUUGACAGAACGGCGGACAUCAAUCAGCACUGCUCACUGACUUUAGAUACUUAUGAAAACCCACCAACAUCUCUGAGUUAAAAAUGCUUCCUUCGACUGACAGCGUCUCACUGUCUAACUCGCCGUAUCACUUUUCCUAAUUGGUGUUGAAACAGUGUAUCAGGCUGGGGGUGUGGCUCAGAGGCAGAGAGUGUGACUGGUAUAUUUAAAGGUCCAACCUCCCGUGUGACAAAGAGUAAACAUGAAGAACAAAUGGUAUUUGUAUCCUACACUGGACCGGAAGCCCUACGAGAGAUUUGUCUACGUCUGUUGCUGUUGUAUCCGCAGAGCCUAGAACAGUUCCGAGUGUGUGCACUGCCUGAGACAACCAUUUGUUAUGCUAUCUAGACAUUUCAAUGGAAGUGAAACUGUGAUCUUUAUUCCAGUGUGUAAAUAUAUAGUUAUCUGCGCAGAGGAAGAGACCGGGGAAUACCUGCAGCUGAAGGCCCGGGGCCUGGCUGAGAGCUAUACCAAUGUGUCAGGAGAGUACCAGCAGAUCGUGGAACUUGAUUCUGCUCUACCUCACUGGGCGUGGCAGAUGUCUCAAAAGCCACCAGCCGGUCUGAGUACUGUUGUGGGGUUGAUGCUCUGGGUGCCCUUAGGAGGAAGCCUGGCAGUCGGGUGUUGUCUGCAUACUCAGGAACUGGGCUACAUGUGUCACCAGAAGAGCUAAGCCUAGGGCACUCAGGUUCUACACCCUUGAUGGAAGUCUUCAAGAACGCAGCAGCUGGGGGCAGAGGGUGCUGCUCCCAUUUCCUCUGCUGGGACAAUCUGGGAAACCAGAUUGACUGCGAUGAGAUUAGGGAGGACACUGCCAUGUGGUGUUCUGAGGAAGCACCUGUCACUUCAUCUGGUGCUCAGAAAGCAUGAAUUUAGGAACACAGGAACCAAGCACCCGGACAUUGGUCUUCAUCCACCCUCCAGCCUUGCUUUCCCAAGGCUGCUCGGAGAAACGUUUCCAUGGUUUGGCAGUGACUUUCUUCCCAGGCCCUGCCCAGUGGGUUAGGUCAAUAUCAGUAAUCAAAAGACAGCAUAACAUUAGAGAGAGCUGAGUGGAGGCAGGAGGAUUCUCAGGCCACGGUACAGCCCAGGGGUUGAGAGGGCACCACAGGGCCUGCUACCACACUCUCGGCAAGCCUGAAAUGUGAGGACCAGAGAGUGGCAGCACCCAUGGAUCACUCCUGUAGCUGUGGUGAGACCAGGAGCCACCGAGUCCUCCGUUCCUUCGGGUCUUAUUAAGUACUGUCAUUAAAGCUGCAUUUGCCUCCUAA